rnacentral:lncRNA from 1 species
AGAUGCCUCCUUGUUCCAGGCUGACAAGCCCGGGCUUGUGCUUAUUUCACUGUCUAACCCUGCCCAGGCCCCGGGGAGAAGCCUGGUAUUCUUCGUGUUUAUUUAAUUGUCAACUCUCUGUGUUCUAAGACGAUACCCUGGCCUUGACUCAGUACAACCUAGGACUGUAAGUCCCAUCAUGUCUAUGGACUUCAGUUUCCAGACAUGAAACACAAGAGGCUUGGACGAGAUUAGAAAUCAAGAACUCGAAUGCGUAUGGUCAGAGCCACGAGAGUUUCCAUAAAGGAACACAACCAUGUGGACAACUUGAUUAUGCCCUACAAAACUGAAUUCCUGUGAGCAUUCCUCUUCAAGAUGGAAGAAAAAGGGAAUAUUUCACAACCCCAAUGGUGAAACGUCUGCCUAUAGCCAACAAUACAAUCUCCAUCCAUGUAUGAUGUGACUUGCUCCUACAUGCCUUCCACCAUGAUUAUGAGGCCUCCUGAGCCAUGUGGAACU